AUUAAUUUUCCCUCCCAAUAUUCUCUCACUUACAUGAGCUGAAGAGCCACUCCCACUUCUUCUCCUAAAUGGGGUGGCUUCAAUCCCUCCUCUCUCCAUUGAAGAAAUUCUGGUUUCGCCUGCAUUCAACUCCAAAAAAGAGAAGAGGGAUAUACAUUCUAUAUGAGGAUGUGAAAUCUUGUCCCUGUGAAGAUGUGCAGGUGCUAUGGUCAAUACUAGUGGAGUCACAUGCACCUCCCUUGCCAUCAAAACAAUGAGAAAUGGCUUAUCUUCAAUACAAAGCAUUCACCAAAAUGAGACAGAUAUCCAGUCAUGUACAUAAACUAUUUAUGGUGUUUUAUAUACUCUUGUCAAACACUUUUUUUUCGGUUUCUUUCUACUUUUGCGUUUUCAGUUUCUUGUCAUCUCAGUUACGAUACAAACUACUAGAACAUUAUUUUCCUUA